rnacentral:rRNA from 1 species
UACAGAGGUCUCAAGCGUUGUUCGGAUUCAUUGGGCGUAAAGGGUGCGUAGGCGGCGCGGUAAGUCGGGUGUGAAAUCUCGGAGCUUAACUCCGAAACUGCAUUCGAUACUGCCGUGCUUGAGGACUGGAGAGGAGACUGGAAUUCUCGGUGUAGCAGUGAAAUGCGUAGAUAUCGAGAGGAACACCAGUGGCGAAGGCGAGUCCCUGGACAUCUCCUGACACUGAGGCACGAAAGCUAGGGGAGCAAACAGG